rnacentral:rRNA from 1 species
CCUACGGGGGGCAGCAGUGAGGAAUAUUGGUCAAUGGACGAGAGCCUGAACCAGCCAAGUAGCGUGAAGGAUGACUGCCCUAUGGGUUGUAAACUUCUUUUAUAUGGGAAUAAAAUGUUCCACGUGUGGGAGUUUGUAUGUACCAUAUGAAUAAGGAACGGGUAACUCCGUGCCAGCAGCCGCGGUAAUACGGAGGAGCCGAGCGUUAUCCGGAUUUAGUGGGUGUAAAGGGAGCGUAGGUGGAUUGUUAAGGCAGUUGUGAAAGUUGGGGGCUCAACCGUAAAAUUGCAGUUGAAACUGGCAGUCUUGAGUACAGUAGAGGUGGGCGGAAUUCGUGGUGUAGCGGUGAAAUGCUUAGAUAUCACGAAGAACUCCGAUUGCGAAGGCAGCUCACUGGACUGCAACUGACACUGAGGCUCGAAAGUGUGGGUAUCAAACAGGAUUAGAUACCCUGGUAGUC